rnacentral:rRNA from 1 species
CAGCAGCCGCGGUAAUACGUAGGGUGCGAGCGUUAAUCGGAUUUACUGGGCGUAAAGCGUGCGCAGGCGGCCCGUUAAGACAGGUGUGAAAUCCCUGGGCUCAACCUAGGAAUUGCGCUUGUGACUGGCGGGCUCGAGUACGGUAGAGGGGGGUGGAAUUCCUGGUGUAGCAGUGAAAUGCGUAGAGAUCAGGAGGAACACCGAUGGCGAAGGCAGCCCCCUGGGCCUGUACUGACGCUCAUGCACGAAAGCGUGGGGAGCAAACAGGAUUAGAUACCCUGUUAGUCCACGCCCUAAACGAUGGGUACUAGCCGUUUGGUGCGCGAUAGCGCUGAGUGGCGAAGCUAACGCGUGAAGUACCCCGCCUGGGGAGUACGGCCGCAAGGUUGAAACUUAAAGGAAUUGGCGGG